AUACGUAGGGUGCAAGCGUUAAUCGGAAUUACUGGGCGUAAAGCGUGCGCAGGCGGUCUUGUAAGACAGAGGUGAAAUCCCCGGGCUCAACCUGGGAACUGCCUUUGUGACUGCAAGGCUAGAGUACAGCAGAGGGGGAUGGAAUUCCGCGUGUAGCAGUGAAAUGCGUAGAUAUGCGGAGGAACACCGAUGGCGAAGGCAAUCCCCUGGGCCUGUACUGACGCUCAUGCACGAAAGCGUGGGGAGCAAACAGGAUUAGAUACCCUGGUAGUCCACGCCCUAAACGAUGUCAACUGGUUGUUGGGUCUUCAUUGACUCAGUAACGAAGCUAACGCGUGAAGUUGACCGCCUGGGGAGUACGGCCGCAAGGUUGAAACUCAAAUGAAUUGACGGGG
rnacentral:rRNA from 1 species